rnacentral:rRNA from 1 species
ACUCAAAGGAAUAGACGGGGGCCCGCACAAGCGGCGGAGCAUGCUGAUUAAUUCGAUGCAACGCGAAGAACCUUACCUGGGUUUGACAUAUGGGGAAAACUCACAGAGAUGUGAGGUCCUUUUGGGCUCCAUACAGGUGGUGCAUGGCUGUCGUCAGCUCGUGUCGUGAGAUGUUGGGUUAAGUCCCGCAACGAGCGCAACCCUCGUUCUAUGUUGCCAGCACGUAAUGGUGGGGACUCAUAGGAGACUGCCGGGGUCAACUCGGAGGAAGGUGGGGAUGACGUCAAGUCUUCAUGCCCCUUAUGCCCAGGGCUUCAAGCAUGCUACAAUGGCCGGUACAAAGGGCUGCGAAACCGCAAGGUGGAGCGAAUCCCAAAAAGCCGGUCUCAGUUCGGAUUGGGGUCUGCAACUCGACCCCAUGAAGUCGGAGUCGCUAGUAAUCGCAGAUCAGCAACGCUGCGGUGAAUACGUUCCCGGGCCUUGCACACACCGCCCGU